CAGUUGGAAAUUCCAGAGCUUAUGGAAGAUGAUGUUCAACUUGGUCCUGUGCUAGAACAAGUUGGUUUCUCACUUGGUGUGAAAAAGGCAUAGCUGGUCAGACAUGAUUCAAGGUAAGAACAAAUUUCAUGCCAAUGCCUUACAAAGUUCAAACAAUAGAUGACUUUGUAAAACAAGUAGAGGCAGGGGAUAUGAAACUCCGAGUUCGAGUACUAGAGUCUGAAAGAGCUGCUCGGAAUGCGAAAGUGUUACAAAUGGCUACUAGAGCUGCUCGGAAAGCGACAGUCUGAAAUUGCAAGGAUGGUUCUUUCUUUGUCUUUUGUGAAGGGGUUAUUGGAAGGUCAGUAUUAAUAAAUCUUCCCUCUUCUGCUAGCUGUCUGUUAUCUAAGCCUUAAUGUUAGAAAGUAAGAGUUGAAGGAACAUUAUUUGUUAUAUAAAUUAUUUCUAGUAUUUGGAUGCCAAAUUGACCGUAAAAAGACAUUAUGAACUUUACUCAUAAAUGUAAAA